GGUUGACCUCGGAUCAGGUAGGGCUACCCGCUGAACUUAAGCAUAUCAAUAAGCGGAGGAA
rnacentral:rRNA from 1 species